AUUGAACGCUGGCGGCAGGCUUAACACAUGCAAGUCGAGCGAGCGGCGGACGGGUGAGUAAUGUCUGGGAAACUGCCUGAUGGAGGGGGAUAACUACUGGAAACGGUAGCUAAUACCGCAUACCAUCAGAUGUGCCCAGAUGGGAUUAGCUAGUAGGUGGGGUAAUGGCUCACCUAGGCGACGAUCCCUAGCUGGUCUGAGAGGAUGACAAGCAACACUGGAACUGAGACACGGCACAGAUUCCUAUGGUAGGCAGCAGUGGGGAAUAUUGCACAAUGGGCGCAAGCCUGUGGCAGCCAGGCAGCGUGUGUGAAGAAGGCCUGCGGGUUGUAAAGCACUUUCAGCUAGGAGGCGUUACUCGCAGAAGAAGCACCGGCUAACUCCGUGCCAGCCGCCGCGGUAAUAC
rnacentral:rRNA from 1 species